GAUGAACGCUGGCGGCGUGCCUAAUACAUGCAAGUCGAGCGAACGGACGAGAAGCUUGCUUCUCUGAUGUUAGCGGCGGACGGGUGAGUAACACGUGGAUAACCUACCUAUAAGACUGGGAUAACUUCGAGAAACCGUAGCUAAUACCGGAUAAUAUUUUGAACCGCAUGGUUCAAAAGUGAAAGACGGUCUUGCUGUUACUAAUAGAUGGAUCCGCGCUGCAUUAGCUAGUUGGUAAGGUAACGGCUUACCAAUGCAACGAUGCAUAGCCGACCUGAGAGGGUUAUCCGCCACACUAGAACAGAGACACGGUCAAGACUUAGACGGAAGUGAGCAGAAGGGAAGUUUCGAAAAUGGUCGAAAGCCUGAAGGAAGAACCCGGCGAGCGUGAUGAAGGUCUUCGGUUCGUAAAACUCUGUUAGUAGGGAAGAACAUAUGUGUACUUAACUGAGCACAUCUUGACGGUACCUUAUCAGAAAGCCCCGGCUAACUACGUG
rnacentral:rRNA from 1 species